GAUGAACGCUGGCGGCGUGCUUAACACAUACAAGUCGAACGGAAAGGCCCAAGCUUGCUUGGGUACUCGAGUGGCGAACGGGUGAGUAACACGUGGGUGAUCUGCCCUGCACUUCGGGAUAAGCCUGGGAAACUGGGUCUAAUACCGGAUAGGACGAUGGUUUGGAUGCCAUUGUGGAAAGUUUUUUCGGUGUGGGAUGAGCUCGCGGCCUAUCAGCUUGUUGGUGGGGUAAUGGCCUACCAAGGCGUCGACGGGUAGCCGGCCUGAGAGGGUGUACGGCCACAUUGGGACUGAGAUACGGCCCAGACUCCUACGGGAGGCAGCAGUGGGGAAUAUUGCACAAUGGGCGCAAGCCUGAUGCAGCGACGCCGCGUGGGGGAUGACGGCCUUCGGGUUGUAAACUCCUUUCGCUAGGGACGAAGCGUUUUUGUGACGGUACCUGGAGAAGAAGCACCGGCUAACUACGUG
rnacentral:rRNA from 1 species